rnacentral:lncRNA from 1 species
UUUGAAACUAAAUAAUCUCAAAACGAUUAAUUGAGUUACAUAUUGAAGUAAAUAUCUUUCAGUCCUAUUAAGUAUAAUUUUCAAUUGUUUUUCAUCAUAUUCAUUUUUCAAAUUAGACCGCUUUUCUUAAUUAAUAAUAGUAUCGAUUUACCGACCGUCCCCGAGGUCCCAAGUUCGAAUCCUAAUUGAUUUACAUUUUCAGCUAAAUUUAUUUCUGAAUAAAAGAAUUAGAAGCGGAUAGCGUGCUACCUAUUUCUAAAAAUAAAUAAAUAAAUAAAUAAUAGUAUCGAUUUAAUUUAAUUUUUUGCAAUUUGGUGAAUUAAAUUUCUUUUUUUUUUUUUUU